rnacentral:rRNA from 1 species
UACGGGGGGGGCAAGCGUUGUUCGGAAUUACUGGGCGUAAAGGGCGCGUAGGCGGCCUGCUAAGUCGGACGUGAAAUCCCUCGGCUCAACCGAGGAACUGCGUCCGAUACUGGUGGGCUUGAAUCCGGGAGAGGGAUGUGGAAUUCCAGGUGUAGCGGUGAAAUGCGUAGAUAUCAGGAGGAACACCGGUGGCGAAGGCGGGUCUCUGGGCCGACAUUGACGCUGGAGGAGCGAAAGCGUGGGGAGCGAACAGG